rnacentral:tRNA from 1 species
GGUAAGGUGGCCGAGAAGGCGGUGGGUUGUAGCCCCAAGCACGGAGGUUUUAGUCCUCCCCUUGCCA